ACUGUGCUCAGCAUCAGAAAAUGGGAUGACAAUGAACAGAGUAACAGGACUAUAUUUCUGAAAAAGGAUGAACUUACUGGAAACAGGAUUGCGUGCCUGAAAUAUAUCCAAAUGGAUAUAAAUGUCAACUCAGUUCUGGGCUGGAGAUAUAGAUUUGGAAUGCACCAACAAUGCAGAUGGUAAUCCUGGCAUGCGAGUAGGGCUCAAGCACCUCUUACUGCCUCCUCACUCUGGAACCAAAUGCCUUACUUGACAGGAUCACAGAAUGUGAAUUUUGAACAGAUCUGAAAAGUUAUUAAGUUCAACUCCACAGAGGUUCCUAGGAGAAUGUUAACAGUCCAGACCUUUUUCACUACAUCAACCACGGAUGAUUGGCAUAUAAAAUCCUACUUAACCUUUACAUAACUGCAAUACCAGGAAACAAAUAUGUCAAUAAAAGGAAACAUCAUUCAA
rnacentral:lncRNA from 1 species